AUCCAAGAAUUUUUCAGCAUCUUUUGCUCGUAAGCAAUCGAAAACAUCUUUUAGUGUUCCUAGUCCGAGGAUGAUGAGCCGAUCAGAAGCUUGGACUCCUUCACAAACAGGGGUGACACCUGAUCUUCAAGGACUAGAUGAUUUGAACCUCGAUGAACCGGCGACGGUUCCUUCAUCCUCUGUCUCCGUUCAGAAAUCAGAAGAACCGGAAAAGAUGGAAGAGAUUGACCUCCCAGAGUUUGAUGUUGAAGACAAGGGGGUCGAAAUUCAAGAGAAAGAACUCAAAGAAGCCGAGGAAGAAGAACCCGAAGACAAUAAAUCAGUUUCAAGUGAGGUUGUCAAGGAGAUGGUGAAUGAUCAGUUACAUAAGACAAGGUUAACUGAGCUUGAUUCGAUUGCCCGGCAGAUUAAAGCUCUUGAAUCUAUGAUGGGGGAUGAAAAGAUUGUCAAGGCUGAUGAAGAAACAGAAUCACAAAGGCUGGAUGCUGAUGAAGAAACUGUAACAAGGGAAUUUCUCCAGAUGUUAGAGGAUGAAGGAAGCAAUGAAUUUAAAGAUAUUCCACAUUUUCAACUCGACAAAGCUGAGGAUGAUACCGCUGGUGAUUCUGAUUCUAAAGUUUAUCUCCCUGAUCUAGGAAAGGGGCUAGGCUGUGUGGUUCAAACAAGAGAUGGAGGCUACUUAGCUGCUGUGAAUCCAUUGGAUUCCUUGGUUGCUAGAAAAGACAUGCC
rnacentral:lncRNA from 1 species